UACGGAGGGUGCAAGCGUUUAUCCGGAUUCACUGGGUUUAAAGGGUGCGUAGGUGGGCUAGUAAGUCCGUGGUGAAAUCUCCAAGCUUAACUUGGAAACUGCCGUGGAUACUAUUAGUCUUGAAUAUUGUGGAGGUAAGCGGAAUAUGUCAUGUAGCGGUGAAAUGCUUAGAUAUGACAUAGAACACCGAUAGCGAAGGCAGCUUGCUACACAAUCAUUGACACUGAGGCACGAAAGCGUGGGGAUCAAACAGG
rnacentral:rRNA from 1 species